rnacentral:rRNA from 1 species
GAGUUUGAUCAUGGCUCAGAUUGAACGCUGGCGGCAUGCCUUACACAUGCAAGUCGAACGGCAGCACGGGAGCUUGCUCCUGGUGGCGAGUGGCGAACGGGUGAGUAAUGCAUCGGAACGUAUCCUGGAGUGGGGGAUAACGUAGCGAAAGUUACGCUAAUACCGCAUAUUCUGUGAGCAGGAAAGCGGGGGGACCUUCGGGCCUCGCGCUCUUGGAGCGGCCGAUGUCGGAUUAGCUAGUUGGUGAGGUAAAGGCUCACCAAGGCGACGAUCCGUAGCAGGUCUGAGAGGAUGAUCUGCCACACUGGAACUGAGACACGGUCCAGACUCCUACGGAGGCAGCAGUGGGGAAUUUUGGACAAUGGGGGCAACCCUGAUCCAGCCAUGCCGCGUGAGUGAAGAAGGCCUGGU